rnacentral:rRNA from 1 species
CCAAUAGCGUAUAUUAAAGUUGUUGCAGUUAAAAAGCUCGUAGUUGAAUUUCGGGGUCAGUAGGUUGGUCAUGCCACUGGUAUGUACUGAUCUUACUGAUUCCUCCUUCCUGAUGAACCGUAAUGCCAUUAAUUUGGUGUUGCGGGGAGACUGGACUGUUACUUUGAAAAAAUUAGAGUGUUUAAAGCAGGCUAACGCUUGAAUACAUUAGCAUGGAAUAAUGAAAUAGGACGUUCGAUCCUAUUUUGUUGGUUUCUAGGAUAGACGUAAUGAUUAAUAGGGAUAGUUGGGGGCAUUAGUAUUCAAUUGUCAGAGGUGAAAUUCUUGGAUUUAUUGAAGACUAACUACUGCGAAAGCAUUUGCCAAGGAUGUUUUCAUUAAUCAAGAACGAAAGUUAGGGGAUCGAAGACGAUCAGAUACCGUCGUAGUCUUAACCAUAAACUAUGCCGACUAGGGAUCAGAUGAUGUUAAUUUUUUAAUGACUCAUUCGGCGCCUUACG